CCUGCAGACACACCACAAAGUCAUUCACGAUGGCAUACGAUACAUUAAAAAAUUUCAAUUUUUCCUAUAGUUUUAACAUGAUAAACACAAUCUCCAUUAAUUGAUGGUUUGGUUAAUGAUAAACUCUAAAGGUAGUAAACUCGUCCAGCACAUAACAAGCUACAUGCAUUCAGCAGUUAAACUAUUUGCACAAUUGAUCAGCAUCUGAACAGCCACCAACUACUUCAACAAUAUGUUUUGCGGAAAAAAAUCAUUCAAAAAGAAGACACCAUGUAUAUGGGCAUCCAAUACAGGAAAUCAUCAGCAAAGUCC